rnacentral:lncRNA from 1 species
UACAUUUUUUCAUUUUUUUCACUCUUAAUACAACUCUUCUUCUUCCCUUUUUUUUUUCUUUUCAACGAAAAUGCUUAGUUUUUAACCAUUCAAACCUUUUGACGCGAAUUCCAGCAUCUACCAAAUGAAGGAGUCUGGUUACUUAGCCCUCAUCGCUUAAAAAUCACAUACUCAUAGCUAUCGUUACUUUUUGAUGCAAAAGUCGACACUUUUAGUGAAGAUCACCGGUUAUUAGGUAACGAUAACUAGAAAAGUAUACCCAAAUACUAUUCAUAAAUAAGCACCAAAUUAAAAUUAAAAACCAUACAAACCCACUUCAUUUUCUAAACAUAGAGAACUCAAAUUAAUAACUGAACCAAUUUGCACAAAAAAUGUUAGACAAAUUUUUACAAUACUUAGAAAAGUUAACCAAAAAGUGCAAAAGUCACAAAAUCUUGAAUAUUUACCAAAGAGACAUCUUUAGAUUUGACCAUAUCAUACUUAAAACCUUAAAGUAUGAAAUCUUAGCAAUAGAAAAUUUUGAAAAUCCAACCAUCAUUUAUCAAAGAUAACCAUUAAUAUGCACAAAUAUAGGCAAAAAGUGGAUAAAAUUUGAAAAAAAAAAUUCCAACAAAAAAUGCCUACACUUGCACUAUUCUAAUAUACUACUUCCCCUACAUCUAAAUCUUAUAUUGUCCCCAAUGUAAGUAAUAAAUAAUCAAAACAGAAGGAAAAAGGGACAACGAAACUUCCUUGAUCAACGAGGGGGCAUAGAUGACUACGGGUCAGAAGCAAAAGGUGGGUUAAAUCCUGCAUGAUAAAAGAAGUCGACCAAGUUUUGCGUCAUUUUGAAAAUAUAGAGCUCGAGGCAAGUAAGACGUCCAGUCAUCCACUUCAUCUCCCCUUGAAGAGUCUGGAACUGCUCAACCCAAGAAGACGGUGGAGGCAGGACGGAAGCAAAAACCCUAGGGGUUUGGUUGUGCGGCUGGGAGAGAAAAAAGGAAGAAAGAAGAAAAAGAGAGAAAGAAAGAAAAAGAAAAAAAAAGAAAGGAAAAAAAAUUUUAAUUUUUUUUUCAACCCCACUC